rnacentral:rRNA from 1 species
UCAAGCGAAUAAGCGCACACGGUGGAUGCCUUGGCGGUCAGAGGCGAUGAAGGACGUGGCAGCCUGCGAAAAGUAUCGGGGAGCUGGCAACAAGCUUUGAUCCGGUAAUGUCCGAAUGGGGAAACCCACCCGCUUGCGGGUAUCCUGCAGUGAAUACAUAGCUGCUGGAAGCGAACCUGGUGAACUGAAAUAUCUAAGUAACCAGAGGAAAAGAAAUCAACCGAGAUUCCGUAAGUAGCGACGAGCGAACGCGGACUAGCCCUUAAGCUGGAUUGGUUCUAGGAAAACGCUCUGGAAAGAGCGGCCAUAGAAGGUGAUAGCCCUGUAUCUGAAAGGGCCAUUCCAGUGAAGACGAGUAGGGCGGGGCACGUGAAACCCUGUCUGAACAUGGGGGGACCAUCCUCCAAGGCUAAAUACUACUGACCGACCGAUAGUGAACCAGUACCGUGAGGGAAAGGCGAAAAGAACCCCGGAGAGGGGAGUGAAAUAGAACCUGAAACCGUGUGCGUACAAGCAGUAGGAGCUCCGCAAGGAGUGACUGCGUACCUUUUGUAUAAUGGGUCAGCGACUUACUGUUCGUGGCAAGCUUAACCGUAUAGGGGAGGCGAAGGGAAACCGAGUCUGAUAAGGGCGCAUAGUCGCGGGCAGUAGACCCGAAACCGGGUGAUCUAGUCAUGCCCAGGGUGAAGGUGCGGUAACACGCACUGGAGGCCCGAACCCACUCCCGUUGCAAAGGUAGGGGAUGAGGUGUGAUUAGGAGUGAAAAGCUAAUCGAACCCGGAGAUAGCUGGUUCUCCUCGAAAGCUAUUUAGGUAGCGCCUCAUAUGUAUCCUCUCGGGGGUAGAGCACUGUUAUGGCUAGGGGGUCAUCGCGACUUACCAAACCAUUGCAAACUCCGAAUACCGAGACGGACUGUAUGGGAGACACACGGCGGGUGCUAACGUCCGUCGUGAAAAGGGAAACAACCCAGACCCACAGCUAAGGUCCCAAAUUCACUGCUAAGUGGAAAACCAUGUGGAAAGGCACAGACAGCCAGGAGGUUGGCUUAGAAGCAGCCACCCUUUAAAGAAAGCGUAAUAGCUCACUGGUCGAGUCGGUCUGCGGGGAAGAUUUAACGGGGCUAAGCAGUGAACCGAAGCUUGGGGUGCAUAACUUUGUUAUGCGCGGUAGAGGAGCGUUCCGUAAGCCGUUGAAGGUGGAUUGAGAAGUCUGCUGGAGGUAUCGGAAGUGCGAAUGCUGACAUGAGUAACGAUAAUGCGGGUGAAAAACCCGCACGCCGAAAGCCCAAGGUUUCCUUGCGCAACGUUAAUCGGCGCAGGGUGAGUCGGCCCCUAAGGCGAGGACGAAAGUCGUAGUCGAUGGGAAGCAGGUUAAUAUUCCUGCACCUCGCGUAAGUGCGAUGGAGGGACGGAGAAGGUUAGGUGUACCAGGCGUUGGUUGUCCUGGGGAAAGGCGGUAGGUUUGGAUCUUUGGCAAAUCCGGGAUCCUUUAAGACCGAGCACCGAGACGAGCCUUUAUGGCGAAGUCACUGAUACCACGCUUCCAGGAAAAGCUCCUAAGCUUCAGCUUACGCAGACCGUACCGUAAACCGACACAGGUGGGUAGGAUGAGAAUUCUCAGGCGCUUGAGAGAACUCGGGUGAAGGAACUAGGCAACAUGGCACCGUAACUUCGGGAGAAGGUGCACCCUUUUUGGUGGCUCGUGCGAGCUAUAGCUGAAGAGGGUCGCAGUAACCAGGCCGCUGCGACUGUUUAUCAAAAACACAGCACUCUGCAAACACGAAAGUGGACGUAUAGGGUGUGACGCCUGCCCGGUGCUGGAAGGUUAAUUGAUGGGGUCAGCCGCAAGGCGAAGCUCUUGAUCGAAGCCCCAGUAAACGGCGGCCGUAACUAUAACGGUCCUAAGGUAGCGAAAUUCCUUGUCGGGUAAGUUCCGACCUGCACGAAUGGCGUAACGACAGCGGCGCUGUCUCCACCCGAGACUCAGUGAAAUUGAAAUCGCUGUGAAGAUGCAGCGUUCCCGUGGCAAGACGGAAAGACCCCGUGAACCUUUACUAUAGCUUUACACUGAACGUUGAGUUCGUCUGUGUAGGAUAGGUGGGAGGCUAUGAAACUGUGGCGCUAGCUGCAGUGGAGCCAUCCUUGAAAUACCACCCUGUCGUGCUUGACGUUCUAACCUGGGCCCAUUAUCUGGGUCGGGGACCGUGUAUGGUGGGUAGUUUGACUGGGGCGGUCUCCUCCUAAAGAGUAACGGAGGAGCUCGAAGGUACGCUCAGCGCGGUCGGACAUCGCGCACUGUGUGCAAAGGCAUAAGCGUGCUUGACUGCAAGAUCGACGGAUCAAGCAGGUAGGAAACUAGGACUUAGUGAUCCGGUGGUUCUGUAUGGAAGGGCCAUCGCUCAACGGAUAAAAGGUACUCCGGGGAUAACAGGCUGAUACCGCCCAAGAGUUCAUAUCGACGGCGGUGUUUGGCACCUCGAUGUCGGCUCAUCACAUCCUGGGGCUGUAGUCGGUCCCAAGGGUAUGGCUGUUCGCCAUUUAAAGUGGUACGCGAGCUGGGUUCAGAACGUCGUGAGACAGUUCGGUCCCUAUCUGCCAUGGGCGUUGGAGAUUUGAGAGGGGCUGCUCCUAGUACGAGAGGACCGGAGUGGACGAACCUCUGGUGUUCCGGUUGUCACGCCAGUGGCAUUGCCGGGUAGCUAUGUUCGGAAGCGAUAACCGCUGAAAGCAUCUAAGCGGGAAGCGCGCCUCAAGAUGAGAUCUCCCGGGGCACAAGCCCCCUGAAGGAACCAUGUAGACUACGUGGUUGAUAGGUCAGGUGUGUAAGUACAGCAAUGUAUUGAGCUAACUGAUACUAAUGAUCCGUGCGGCUUGACCA